GCUCGGCGGCGUGCCUAAUACAUGCAAGUCGAGCGAAUGACGAGGAGCUUGCUCCUCUGAUUUAGCGGCGGACGGGUGAGUAACACGUGGGCAACCUGCCCUGCAGACUGGGAUAACUUCGGGAAACCGGAGCUAAUACCGGAUAAUCCAUUUUACUUCAUGGUGAAAUGUUGAAAGGCGCUUUCGCGCCACUGCAGGAUGGGCCCGCGGUGCAUUAGCUAGUUGGUGGGGUAACGGCCUACCAAGGCGACGAUGCAUAGCCGACCUGAGAGGGUGAUCGGCCACAUUGGGACUGAGACACGGCCCAAACUCCUACGGGAGGCAGC
rnacentral:rRNA from 1 species